rnacentral:tRNA from 2 species
CCCUCUAUAGCCUAGUGGACUAGGGCGGCGCUUUCAUACGGCGUGAUCGUUGGUUCGAAUCCAACUAGAGGGAC